AACGCACAUUGCGCCCGCCAGCACUCUGGCGGGCAUGCCUGUCCGAGCGUCAUAUCGACCCUCAGGCCCCCGUCCCCCUCCCCACCGGGCCCGGUGGGAGGGGGGGGAACCGCCUGGCGUUGGGGAUCGGCCGGGUCCGCCCGCGCCGCCCCCUAAACACAGUGGCGGCCUCGCUGCAGCCUCCCCCUGCGUAGUAGCACGACAACCUCGCAUCGGGAGCGCGGCGCGGCCACGCCGUAAAAAUCUUAAGCCCCGGCUUCACUGAAGUUGACCUCGGAUCAGGUAGGGAUACCCGCUGAACUUAA
rnacentral:misc_RNA from 1 species